GCGUAUAGAAUCUACCUUAUACUAGGGGAUAGCCUUUGGAAACGAAGAUUAAUACCCUAUAGUAAGUAUUUAUGGCAUCAUUUAUACUUUAAAGGUUACGGUAUAAGAUGACUAUGCGUCCUAUUAGUUUGUUGGUGAGGUAACGGCUCACCAAGACUUCGAUAGGUAGGGGCCCUGAGAGGGGGAUCCCCCACACUGGUACUGAGACACGGACCAGACUCCUACGGGAGGCAGCAGUGAGGAAUAUUGGACAAUGGAGGAAACUCUGAUCCAGCCAUGCCGCGUGCAGGAUGACGGCCC
rnacentral:rRNA from 1 species